GACGAACCAUGCAAACGUUAUUCGGAAUCACUGGGCUUAAAGCGUGCGUAGGCGGCUCAGCAAGUUGGGUGUGAAAUGCCUCGGCUCAACCGAGGAAUUGCGCCCAAAACUACUGGGCUUGAGAGAGUUAGAGGUGAGCGGAACUCACGGUGGAGCGGUGAAAUGCGUUGAUAUCGUGAGGAACACCGGAGGCGAAAGCGGCUCACUGGGGCUUUACUGACGCUGAGGCACGAAAGCUAGGGGAGCAAACGGG
rnacentral:rRNA from 1 species